UCCGGUUUGUCACCGGCAGUCCCAUUAGAGUGCUCAACUGAAUGUAGCAACUAAUGGCAAGGGUUGCGCUCGUUGCGGGACUUAACCCAACAUCUCACGACACGAGCUGACGACAGCCAUGCAGCACCUGUGUUGCGGUUCCCUUUCGGGCACCCCUGCAUUUCUGCAGGGUUCCGCACAUGUCAAGGGUAGGUAAGGUUCUUCGCGUUGCGUCGAAUUGAACCACAUGCUCCACCGCUUGUGCGGGCCCCCGCCUAUUCCUUUGAGUUUUAACCUUGCGGCCGUAGUCCCCAGGCGGUGAACUUAAUGCGUUAGCUGCGGCACUGAUCGGGUCAAUCCGACCAACACCUAGUUCACAACGUUUAGGGCGUGGACUAC
rnacentral:misc_RNA from 1 species